rnacentral:rRNA from 1 species
CCUACGGGCGGCAGCAGUGAGGAAUAUUUGUCAAUGGACGCAAGUCUGAACCAGCCAUGCCGCGUGCAGGAAGACGGCUCUAUGAGUUGUAAACUGCUUUUGUACGAGGGUAAACGCAGAUACGUGUAUCUUUCUGAAAGUAUCGUACGAAUAAGGAUCGGCUAACUCCGUGCCAGCAGCCGCGGUAAUACGGAGGAUUCAAGCGUUAUCCGGAUUUAUUUGGUGUAAAGGGUGAGUAGGCGGUCGGAUAAGUUAGAGGUGAAAGCCCGAGGCUCAACUUCGGAAUUGCCUCUGAUACUGGUCGGCUAGAGAGUAGUAGCGGUAGGCGGAAUGUAUGGUGUAGCGGUGAAAUGCUUAGAGAUCAUACAGAACACCGAUUGCGAAGGCAGCUUACCAGGCUACUUCUGACGUUGAGGCACGAAAGCGUGGGGAGCAAACAGGAUUAGAUACCCCAGUAGUC